UACAGAGGAGCCAAGCGUUGUCCGGAUUGACUGGGCGUAAAGCGCAGCGCAGGCGGACGCGCGCGUGGGGUGUGAAAUCUGGCCGGCUUAACGGCCAGGCGCCAUCCCAUACGGCGCGUCUGGAGUGAUGCAGAGGUCGGUGGAAUUGCCGGUGUAGUGGUGAAAUGCGUAGAGAUCGGGCAGGAACACCCAGGGGGGAAACCAGCCGACUGGGCAUCUACUGACGCUGAGGUGCGAGAGCGUGGGGAGCGAACCGG
rnacentral:rRNA from 1 species